CGGCGAGUGAAGCGGCAACAGCUCAAAUUUGAAAUCUGGCGCCCUUGGACGCCCGAGUUGUAAUUUGCAGAGGGCGCUUUGGCGUCGGCCCCGGCCUAGGUCCCUUGGAACAGGGCGUCGCAGAGGGUGAGAACCCCGUACGUGGCCGCCGGCCUUCGCCGUGUAAAGCCCCUUCGACGAGUCGAGUUGUUUGGGAAUGCAGCUCUAAAUGGGAGGUAAAUUCCUUCUAAAGCUAAAUAUUGGCCAGAGACCGAUAGCGCACAAGUAGAGUGAUCGAAAGAUGAAAAGCACUUUGGAAAGAGAGUCAAAAAGCACGUGAAAUUGUUGAAAGGGAAGCGCUUGCAGCCAGACUCGCCCGCGGUCGUUCCUCUUCCGCGGGCGGGCCAGCAUCAGCCUGGGCGGUCGGAAAAAGGCCCCGGGAACGUAGCUCCCCUCGGGGAGUGUUAUAGCCCGGGGCGCCAUGCGACCAGCCGGGGCUGAGGCCCGCGCAUCUGCUAGGAUGCUGGCGUAAUGGCUGUAAGCGGCCCGUCUUGAAACACGGACCAAGGAGUCUAACAUCUGUGCGAGUGUUUGGGUGUCAAGCCCGGGCGCGCAAUGAAAGUGAACGGAGGUGGGAACCCCUUCGGGGCGCACCAUCGACCGAUCCUGAUGUCUUCGGAUGGAUUUGAGUAAGAGCAUAGCUGUUGGGACCCGAAAGAUGGUGAACUAUGCCUGAAUAGAGUGAAGCCAGAGGAAACUCUGGUGGAGGCUCGCAGCGGUUCUGAC
rnacentral:rRNA from 1 species